rnacentral:rRNA from 1 species
GUGCAGCAGGCGCGAAUCCCUCGCAAUGCGGGAAACCGCGACGAGGGGACUCCCAGUGCCUACGCUCAGCGUAGGCUGUUCCCGAGCCUAGAAAGCUCGGGGAGUAAGGGCUGGGUAAGACGGGUGCCAGCCGCCGCGGUAAUACCCGCAGCCCGAGUGGUGGCCACUAUUAUUGGGCCUAAAGCGUCCGUAGCCGGCCCGGUAAAUGCCUGGGUAAAUCGUGAGGCCUAACCUCACGAAUUCCGGGUAGACUGCCGGGCUAGGGGACCGGAGGAGGGAGAGGGGUACUCCAGGGGUAGGGGUGAAAUCCUGUAAUCCCUGGAGGACCACCGGUGGCGAAGGCGCUCUCCUAGGACGGGUCCGACGGUGAGGGACGAAAGCCAGGGGAGCGAACCGGAUUAGAUACCCGUGUAGU